rnacentral:rRNA from 1 species
GAUGAACGCUGGCGGCGUGCCUAAUACAUGCAAGUCGAGCGAACGGACGAGAAGCUUGCUUCUCUGAUGUUAGCGGCGGACGGGUGAGUAACACGUGGAUAACCUACCUAUAAGACUGGGAUAACUUCGGGAAACCGGAGCUAAUACCGGAUAAUAUUUUGAACCGCAUGGUUCAAAAGUGAAAGACGGUCUUGCUGUCACUUAUAGAUGGAUCCGCGCUGCAUUAGCUAGUUGGUAAGGUAACGGCUUACCAAGGCAACGAUGCAUAGCCGACCUGAGAGGGUGAUCGGCCAAACUGGAACUGAGACACGGUCCAGACUCCUACGGGAGGCAGCAGUAGGGAAUCUUCCGCAAUGGGCGAAAGCCUGACGGAGCAACGCCGCGGGAGUGAUGAAGGUCUUCGGAUCGUAAAACUCUGUUAUUAGGGAAGAACAUAUGUGUAAGUAACUGUGCACAUCUUGACGGUACCUAAUCAGAAAGCCACGGCUAACUACGUG